rnacentral:rRNA from 1 species
UACGGAGGGUGCAAGCGUUAUCCGGAUUUACUGGGUUUAAAGGGCGCGUAGGCGGCCUUCUAAGUCGGACGUGAAAUCCCUCGGCUUAACCGAGGAACUGCGUCCGAUACUGAAAGGCUUGAAUCCGGGAGAGGGAUGUGGAAUUCCAGGUGUAGCGGUGAAAUGCGUAGAUAUCUGGAGGAACACCGGUGGCGAAGGCGGCAUCCUGGACCGGCAUUGACGCUGAGGCGCGAAAGCUAGGGGAGCAAACGGG